CCCUUAGAUGUCCUGGGCCGCACGCGGGCUACACUGACGCAUACAGCGAGCACUUUCCAGUUCCGAGAGGCUACUGGUAAUCAUCAAUAUGCGUCGUGAUGGGGAUAGAUCUUUGGAAUUCUGGAUCUUGAACGAGGAAUGCCUAGUAAUCGCAGGUCAUUAGCCUGCGAUGAUUAAGUCCCUGCCCUUUGUACACACCGCCCGUCGCUACUACCGAUUUCGAGUGGUCAGGUGAAUCUUUCGGACUGUGGGCGCCCUUGAGGUGUUCGCGGAAAGUCAGGUAAAUCUUAUCACUUAGAGGAAGUAAAAGUCGUAACA
rnacentral:rRNA from 1 species